rnacentral:rRNA from 1 species
UACAGAGGUCUCAAGCGUUGUUCGGAUUCAUUGGGCGUAAAGGGUGCGCAGGCGGCGCGGUAAGUCGGGUGUGAAAUCUCGGAGCUUAACUCCGAAACUGCAUUCGAUACUGCCGUGCUUGAGGACUGGAGAGGAGACUGGAAUUUACGGUGUAGCGGUGAAAUGCGUAGAUAUCGUAAGGAAGACCAGUGGCGAAGGCGGGUUGCUGGGCUGACACUGACGCUGAGGCGCGAAAGCCAGGGGAGCGAACGGG